ACGGGUGAGUAACACGUGGGCAAUCUGCCCUUCACUCUGGGACAAGCCCUGGAAACGGGGUCUAAUACCGGAUAACACUCUGUCCCGCAUGGGACGGGGUUAAAAGCUCCGGCGGUGAAGGAUGAGCCCGCGGCCUAUCAGCUUGUUGGUGGGGUAAUGGCCUACCAAGGCGACGACGGGUAGCCGGCCUGAGAGGGCGACCGGCCACACUGGGACUGAGACACGGCCCAGACUCCUACGGGAGGCAGCAGUGGGGAAUAUUGCACAAUGGGCGAAAGCCUGAUGCAGCGACGCCGCGUGAGGGAUGACGGCCUUCGGGUUGUAAACCUCUUUCAGCAGGGAAGAAGCGAAAGUGACGGUACCUGCAGAAGAAGCGCCGGCUAACUACGUGCCAGCAGCCGCGGUAAUACGUAGGGCGCAAGCGUUGUCCGGAAUUAUUGGGCGUAAAGAGCUCGUAGGCGGCUUGUCACGUCGGAUGUGAAAGCCCGGGGCUUAACCCCGGGUCUGCAUUCGAUACGGGCUAGCUAGAGUGUGGUAGGGGAGAUCGGAAUUCCUGGUGUAGCGGUGAAAUGCGCAGA
rnacentral:rRNA from 8 species